GUCCAAGUCGCUGCAACUACACUUGCCCGAUGGAGAUAGCAAGGACUGCUGAGAGCCCAGGUCCCUCUGCACCUUCAGAUGGUCACGUUGCUAAAGCAGAUCUCUGCUCGGUCCUUGUUCUUUACUGUCUGCUGCUUUUGACUAGCUUCAUCCUCCUCCAACAGUUUAAACUGGGUUAAACAAUCAUGCAUUCUUUGAACCGCUACUUCCACAUAUCAAAACAACAACUUUUCACGAAUCUUCUCCUGGUUUCCGGUGCUUUUUGAUAUUUAUUGGUGGUAUACUCUAGUAUACUUCACUGCAGUAGAACUCCAAGUCCACGACACCUAGCUUGCAUGCUUCUUUCUGAUCCAAGCGGGAUUGUUUUAAAGGUGAUUCAUUGGUCCUCCCUUCACCUCCAGAGUAACACAACUUGAACUGACUUCAGCACGAAAAAGAUUAGCAUCAUUGGGAGCAAGACAACUAGUUUUUUUGUCACU
rnacentral:misc_RNA from 1 species